rnacentral:rRNA from 1 species
CAGGAUGAACGCUGGCGGCGUGCUUAACACAUGCAAGUCGAACGAACCUUCGGGUUAGUGGCGGACGGGUGAGUAACGCGUGAGAAUCUGCCCUCAGGAGGGGGACAACAGCUGGAAACGGCUGCUAAUACCCCAUAUGCCGCGAGGUGAAAUGAAUUNNNNCUGAGGAUGAGCUCGCGUCUGAUUAGCUAGUUGGUGUAGGUAAUGGCUCACCAAGGCAUCGAUCAGUAGCUGGUCUGAGAGGAUGAUCAGCCACACUGGGACUGAGACACGGCCCAGACUCCUACGGGAGGCAGCAGUGGGGAAUUUUCCGCAAUGGGCGAAAGCCUGACGGAGCAACGCCGCGUGAGGGAUGAAGGCCUCUGGGCUGUAAACCUCUUUUAUCAAGGAAGAAGAUCUGACGGUACUUGACGAAUAAGCCACGGCUAAUUCCGUGCCAGCAGCCGCGGUAAUACGGGAGUGGCAAGCGUUAUCCGGAAUUAUUGGGCGUAAAGCGUCCGCAGGCGGCCCUUCAAGUCUGCUG